ACCUGCCACCACACCCGGCUAAUUUUUGUAUUUUUAGUGGAGACGAGGUUGGCCAGGCUGGUCUUCAACUCUUGACCUGAGGCGGUCGGCCUGCCGCAGCUUCCCAAAGUGCUGAGAUUACAGGCAUGAGCCUCGGCACCCAGCCUUUUUUUGCAUUAUUACUGUUUUUUAGGGGCUUUCCAGCAAAACCCAGAAAGACCGCUAGACAGGUUCUGGAGCAGCUGGUGCCGCUUCUGUCUUUAGGUCUGUAAUGGGUCGGUCAGAGUGCGCGCUCCUGUCUUCAGGUCUGUAAUGGGUCGGUCAGAGUGCGCGCUCCUGUCUUUAGGUCUGUAAUGGGUCGGUCAGAGUGCGCGCUCCUGUCUUUAGGUCUGUAAUGGGUCUGUGUGAUUGUGCCGCCACGCCUCUCCCUGUGCCCCCCGAGAAGGUGAGACUCUGGUUAGAGGGCCCAGCAGAGCAUCAGCGCGCUGCACUGCGGGAAGGGAGGCGCCCCACAUGUUGUGCCCCUUGAAGAUGACUUCUGGUCUGGCUUUGACAAUUUUUUUUUUUAAAUGGAGCUGACCCAGUAAAGGUGACCUGGAACUAUUUUUCUCCUGACCUACUUUUGCAAGAUUAUUAUUAUUUUUUUUUAAAUGUGGAUAUUGUUGUGGUAAAAUAUACAGAUAGCCAAGCUUGGCAGUGGCUGUGUUCCCGGCUGUUUGGGAGGCGGAGGCAGAAGGAGUGCUGGAGCCCGAGCUCGGUGGUGUACUGUGCGAUGGUCUUGCCUGUGAACAGCCUCUGCACUGCAGCCUGGAUAACACAGCGAGACCCUGUCUCGACAAAACAAUUAAAAAAAUACAUUCACAUAAA